UCAAAAUUAGAGUUUCCUCAAAAUAAAUCGACACCAAAUUUAUGCGUGCUAACUCGUACCGACACUGUAUCAACGAGUGUCAGUGAAGGAAGUGGACUGUUUUGUUUUGGAAAUUCCAAAGCGUUGUAAAAUGUAGUGAUGGAUUUUCCCGCAGUGUGUUAUCCCCAACCCGGUAGCAUCGGCCUUGUUUCCUGAAGCUGCCGUGAAAGACAGUGGCGUUAGUCUCAUCUAUGUUUUUGAAGGUAGCGUUGAUAUACUAUCUCAUUUACACAUACGUUGAGAUGUUAAUCCCUAAAUCAUCGCGCGAUGUCAGCCGCCUGCAAGAAACACCGCCGUUCGAAAUCGGCAAGAAUAAACGUUGUGUACAUUCUAUAAUGAUGCAACGCAUUCAUUUUUUGUUUCAUCAAGCAAAGCACUCGACGUUAUGUGCAAUAAAUACAUCACCCCAAAACAACACAUAAACACACUGCAGCUGAACACCGACACUGUAUGCACGUAUGAACACUGCUUUUUCUCGUGUUUCGAUGAAUUAGCUGUCAAAUUGCAUGUGAAAUUGAUCCAGUGAUCCAGCUAAUGCUGGCUUCACUUAUGUUGUACGUAAACGUCAGUGAUGCCACCGGGUUGGUUAUCCCACAGAUUUGUCCAUUCAUGGUCGAUUAGAAGCGAAAGUUGCAGUUCCCAGCAAGCAAGCGAAUAUAAAUACGGAAAAAAUUAAAAAGCAGAAGCAGUACAAGGAGUGCAACAUUAUCAGUGCUAUUGCCAAUGUUAAAAAUGGUUCCAUGUCUGUUCACUAUGCUUCUGUGUAUUACGGAGUUCCACGAACCACACUGCAGUAUCGAAUGGGUUUGAAAUGUAAACAAAAGGGUACAGUAGGCCCCUACACUGUUUUGUCACAAAAUGAAGAGCAGGAAAUUGUGACAUGGUUGCGAACCAUGGAGAGAAAGGGAUUUCCGGUAACUCGUGCCGCCUUGAUAUUCAAAGUUUCUUCCUAUCUUAAAGCUCAUCCAAGAACAACACCUUUUAAAAAUAAUGUUCCAGGAAUGGGUUGGUUUCGAGCAGUAUGGUCUAUAUAGGGUGUGGCAGAAGUAUACGUGAAAUUGUGGUGGCGAGUCGAAAAAUGUAAAUAAAAUCCGAGUGAGUCGUUGUGACGUCAUACCACAAAUUAUUGUACGUUCUCUCACGGCAUUAUAUUUUGUUUUUAUGUUAAUGUUCAUUUUGAAAAUAAUUUUUUAUGAAGAAACUAUUUCCGAAAACAAAAAAAACAGGGGAGCAUACUGUUCUUGAAACGCUUAUUUUUUAUUCAAUCACAUAAUUUUUACAAUGAAACACAACAAACGUAGCAAAUCGCAGUGCAGGAUAACUUGAAAUAAUUGCUGAUGUUAUUUGUGAAACAACAAACAACUUCCUGAUUUUUUCAAAUGACCGUUUAUUAGAUUCAAACCAAGCUUGCCUAAAACGAACAUCUAAGAAAUACUUUGCAUUUCACAAUUUUCAUUUAUUUUUAUAAUCUUUUUGGCUUUUAGUAGAUCCAUUUUUGUUUUUAGUCGAUCUGUUUCCUCAAUCUUACGAUUCAAAAUCAUCGAAUAACAUCAUCAAUGAGCAACAUUACUUCGCUGAUUUGUUUCUACUGUAGUUUCUGGUUCGUAACGUUGGCUGUACGAAACGCUAGUUUUACUGGAAUUAGCAAAAAACUACGAUGAGUAGUUCGAAUGCGAAUAUGUUCUAUUACUCUACUUUUCUGGAAAAUUAAAAUAAGACUGCUUCCAUGUCACCAUGUUAGGUCUUAUUGCCUGGUUCCCUCCACAUGAGUUUCUCGGUCAGAUGUUUUUCGGGAUCGCGGGUCCGAGAAGUUGGAGCAAAAAGAAAUAGUUCAUUUGAAUGAAGGGCUUCUACUUCACAAAAAGUAAGUACCUGUUCUAACUAGUUUUUUUUUCUUGCACCUCAACGAUAUAAUUCAAAAAUUUUGCUGCUGGAAAUGCUGUGGGCCUGUAGGUCCCCGGAUUUGUUUCAACACCACAAAACUUCAUGAACUUUUUUCAUAACACCUGUAAGUUUCGUCUGAAAACAACGUAAAUCCAUGCCUUUUUCGGUACAAUGUUCACAAAUAUCUCAACAGGAAACGGCACAUUCAGGCAUUUCUUUUUUUUCCAGUUAUUGCAGGAAAAAAAUCGAAUUUAAGAUAAAAUGGUACCUAUUUAUUUACACUAUAACACUGCAGGAAUAUGACACCGAAACAUUGGUGUGACGUAGUACUCUUUCAUAGCAACGGUAGUGUAAAUAAAAUCAUAGCAGUUUUACACAUGAUAUUGAAAAGUGAUUUGAAUGUGUAUGUAAAACUAUGAUACAUCUGCCACACCCUAUAUAAACCAUACUGGGUUUCGAGGAUUCAUGAAACGACAUCCAGAUUUAGCUUUACGAACACCUGAACCGGUGACUCUGGCAAGCGCUAAAGUCUCCGAGAAAAAUCUUCAGACCUGGUUCCAAACCGUUCGAUACUACUUGCUGGAAAAUGGAUUGAUUAAGAUACUGAAGAUUCAACGAGAAUAUACAAUGGAGACGAAUCUGGAUUUUGUUUGAACCCUUUAUCUAAGCGUGUGCUCGCUACACGAGGUACUAAAAACGUAUCUAUCGUGGAAACAGGAAGUAGUAAGCAAAACAUAACAGUUAUGUUCUCUUUUUGUGCUGAUGGCUCUGUAGUACCUCCAGAUGUCAUUUUAUUUCAAAAAAGAUUAAGUAAGGAACUUAUCCAAUCCUUUCCGGCGAAUUGGGGCCUAGGCCAUUCCGAAAAUGGAUGGAUGGACUCGAAAAACUUUGUUUUAUACUAAGAAAUUUUUUUAACCCAUUCUUGAUUAAAAAAGGAGUAACAUUUCCGGUGAUCUAUUUUGUAGACGGUCAUAAAUCAUACACUGCAAUACAAGCAGCUGAUGUUUGCCAACGGCUUGGAAUUAUUUUAACUGCUCUAUGUCCAAAUGCUACGAGGAUUAUCCAGCCGGCCGAUGUCGGCGUUUUCAAGCCACUUAAGACCAAAUGGAACCAAAUCGUGGAUCGGUGGAAACUAGAAAAUAAUUUCGCAGCAGUGACAUUGUUGCAGUUCGGCUCCUUGUUACAAAAAGCUAUGGACGAAGCUUUCAACCCAAGCAUCAUCAUAUCUGCGUUUGCUGCAUGUGGGUUAUUUCCGUAUAAUGCGAAUGCUGUAAACUACACUAAAUGCAUAGUUCAGAAUGAGGAGCUGCGUAGCUGCAAAUCGAAUACGGAAAGUGGUAAAGAAAAUUCUGCAAAAAAAGGUUUCUGGGUCCCGUACGAAACGAUCGAACAUUCUAUCAAUAUGAUAGCACCGUCGAAGAUACAGAUGCUAAUAACUGAGAACGACGAAUGUCUCUCACAGGAUGAUAGAUGCCUUGCUUAUAUUUAUAAAAACAUUUUAACAAACAGUUACGAAGCGAUCGCAUUAGACACUACUGAUGAAAUGAAUCCUCAAGAAUAUGUGCUUUUGAACGAAUCUGAUAAAAGCAUCUCAAGCUGCGAUGUGAUCGAAUUAGACAUUAUAGACAAAUAAAACCCGAGGGGUAAGCUAUUUGUUUUUAAGCUCUUGAUUUUUAAUGUUUUCUCAUUGCAGAAAAUUCGGAAUUCGAAGCCCCAACUUCUGUUUAUACAAUGGAACAGGCUUCCGUUAACGAAAACGGUAGUUCGCCGAAUGGAGAUAUAAAUUUCUGGAACACUCCCGCAAAUUUCACACGAAAACAUCGGAGCUAUAAACAAAAAUCCUAUUCAAUACUGACUGCCGAGGAGAGGUUGAGCGAAAUGAUUUCAAUAGAGAAGGAAAAGAUUGAAUUGGGAAGAAUCAGGCAGGAAAAAAUGGCCAUUAGAGCAGAGAAAAAAGCUACACUAGAAAAGGAGAAAAUGCUGAAACGAGAACAGAGACUAAAAAGGAAACAAGAAAGAGAAGAUGCUAUUAAAAAGAAACGGGAGGUCAAAAAUGACCCCAGGAAUAAGAAGCUAGGAGAAGUCGAGGCGCAAUAGAACAAACGAAUACAGAGAAGAAAGG